rnacentral:rRNA from 1 species
AUUGCUGUAGUAUUUUGACUAUACAAAGGUAUUGAAAUAAGACUUUAAUUGAGUGCUAAGAGAAUGGAAUUUCAUAAAAUUUCUUUUUUAAUUUUAAAAAUUGAAAUUAAUUUUAUAUGUGAAGAAACAAUAAUAAAAAUUAAGGACAAGAAGACCCUAAGAAUUUUAAAAAUUUCAAUAAAAUGCUGUAUUUUAUUGAAAUUUUUUAAUUGGGGCGAUUAUUAAAUAUUAAAAACUUUAAUUUUUUAAAAAAGAACCAAUAAUAUUGGUUAUUUGAAAAAAUACUCUAGGGAUAACAGCGUAAUAAUUUUUGAUAGUUCUUAUAGACAAAAUAGUUUGCGACCUCGAUGUUGGAUUAGGAUUCUUUUUUAAUGAAGAAGUUAAAAAAAGAAGUUUGUUCAACUUUUAAAAUCCUACUUGAU